GAGAAAUCAUGCGUGCCCUUCCAUCUCUUGUUGAUAUUAACAUUCCGGAGGGCAGACAUUUAACCGUUUGUGGAGAUGUGCAUGGUCAGUUCUAUGAUCUCUUAAAUAUCUUUGAGCUUAACGGGCUUCCAUCCGACGAAAAUCCAUACCUCUUUAACGGAGACUUCGUGGAUAGGGGUUCAUUUUCUGUGGAGGUCAUUCUUACCUUGUUUGCAUUCAAG
rnacentral:misc_RNA from 1 species